rnacentral:rRNA from 1 species
AUCCAUGCCCCUUACUGACCUGGGCGUACACACGUGCUACAAUGGUUGGUACAACGAGUUGCGAGUCGGUGACGGCGAGCUAAUCUCUUAAAGCCAAUCUCAGUUCGGAUUGUAGGCUGCAACUCGCCUACAUGAAGUCGGAAUCGCUAGUAAUCGCGGAUCAGCACGCCGCGGUGAAUACGUUCCCGGGCCUU